GAUGAACGCUGGCGGCGUGCCUAAUACAUGCAAGUCGAGCGAACGGACGGGAAGCUUGCUUCUCUGAUGUUAGCGGCGGACGGGUGAGUAACACGUGGAUAACCUACCUAUAAGACUGGGAUAACUUCGGGAAACCGGAGCUAAUACCGGAUAAUAUUUUGAACCGCAUGGUUCAAAAGUGAAAGACGGUCUUGCUGUCACUUAUAGAUGGAUCCGCGCUGCAUUAGCUAGUUGGUAAGGUAACGGCUUACCAAGGCAACGAUGCAUAGCCGACCUGAGAGGGUGAUCGGCCACACUGGAACUGAGACACGGUCCAGACUCCUACGGGAGGCAGCAGUAGGGAAUCUUCCGCAAUGGGCGAAAGCCUGACGGGGCAACGCCGCGUGAGUGAUGAAGGUCUUCGGAUCGUAAAACUCUGUUAUUAGGGAAGAACAUAUGUGUAAGUAACUGUGCACAUCUUGACGGUACCUAAUCAGAAAGCCACGGCUAACUACGUG
rnacentral:rRNA from 1 species